rnacentral:rRNA from 1 species
AACGUAGGUCCCGAGCGUUAUCCGGAUUUACUGGGCGUAAAGCGUGUUCAGGCGGUCUAGCAAGUCGGGCAUGAAAUCUCUCGGCUCAACCGGGAGGGGUUGUCCGAUACUGCUGGGCUUGAGGGCAGCAGAGGGUGGUGGAAUUCCGGGUGUAGUGGUGAAAUGCGUAGAUAUCCGGAGGAACACCAGUGGCGAAGGCGGCCACCUGGGCUGUACCUGACGCUCAAACACGAAAGCUAGGGGAGCGAACGGG